GUAAGACAAGUUUGUGACUGAGUCUACCUAGCGAGCUGACCCUCACUAUUUAUUCAUGGCCAGAACCCUGCUAGUCGAAAACUCGGCUGGGCCCUGGCAUCCCCAGGUGUCCCCCGCUGAGUCCUAAUCCAAUCCCUCAGGUUUGCUAAUUUAAUUGUGUAAUGGUCCACACCUGAGACAUCCCCGAACUAUCUUGAGGACAUUACUUGGCUUAAAAGACUAAUAAAGAGUAUUAAGGCAGAGACUUAGACAUUGAAAGCUUUCUCCAUCUCAAAAACAUCUGAGUCAAGCAGAAGAGAACUGAAGCGGGGAUGGGGAAUGGGCGGGGGAGACCUCCAAGUUACAAAAAGCAACAAGAAGUAAUUAAAGUUCUUGCCGAGUGAUUCUGAAAUAUGUAUUUAGCCCUUGUAAAUUAAAUACCCUGGGUUUUUAAAGAGCGAUUUCCCUAAACAUCUAUUAUUCACAUCAGUAGGACAGACGCUGUAACAACUUCACCGACUGUCUUGGUUCCACCCCGAGGAUUUUCGCUGAGAGAACACGGUUAGAGGGAAUCAGGAAGCAGAGAAAAGGUCACAAAUAAGCACCUCAGGAACAAUGAAAGCUUUUCUCUAUGCAACAGUGGGAGCGUUGCUAGAAAAAACUGGAAAGGUAUUAAUCAGAAGUGGCUAUAAAUCCUCUGGAGUUUUGCUCUUAGAAAACUCCUCAGAGAAAGUCUUGAAGGAAAUGCAGGUCAAAGCCCAAAAAAGCUCUUGAUCAGAGAUUGCCGGAGGAAAAUCUUCCCAGACGUCGUUUAAUAGGCAGCAAUCACCCCAGGAGUGGGGAAGCCAAGUACGCUUGAAACAUGGUUGCAAUUCCUAAUAGAUCUUGCCACACUUAAGGCACUGCAAGCUCCGUCCACCGAACAGCUGAAGCUAGCUGGCGAUUCAUAAAGCCAACAGUUUAAAGUUUAUUAUGAUGAAAGCACUUAAUGACAGCCAUCGCUAGGGGCCCAUCAUUUAUAAAGCUGUGCUGAGUAUUAGACAUGUAGCAUGACCACCAAUUUUAUGUCACAAUUGCUACCAUAAAAUGACCUUUGGUGAUUUUUGCUGCAUGUGGUGGACAGCUCUUCCUUCACAUUAGUGCUCUGUGGCUUUCUUUGCGGACUAUUAUGCUGUCUAACGCUUAUUUGGCACUGUCGUGAGCCUCAACCCUUGUUAUUACCCCAAAGGCCUGUCUUAAAAAAAAUAAAAAAAAGAACUCAUGCUCUAUAACACCACUCCAAUAAUUUACAGUUCUUACCAGCCUGGGUUAGUGUAAUAUUUUAAUGCAAAUAUGCUUUGCCAUUGCAUUUUAUUUAAAAAGAAAAAAAAAGUUCCCAUGUUUCUGGCUAGGACACUAUCCUUUUGAUGGAGUCCACUGAAACCAGCCUCUUAUUCCUUGGUUAGGUCUCAUUGAAUGGGCACUCCUUUCCCUGAUUGCUUAAAAACACCUCCAGGGGAAAAAAAAAAAAA
ensembl:lncRNA